rnacentral:lncRNA from 1 species
CCCGUUACACCUAAAACAACCCCGUUUUGCUUCCCUUUCAUCUGAGCCGUUUAAUAUUUUAAUCCAACUGUCGCCUUCAAGAUUAGGCAUUAGAUAUAAUUGUCUGGAAAACUUAAGAGACAUACCAUCUUCCUCGUAUUCACCCCACUGUUCCCACCUGAUCUCCGCCGCCGCCACCGGAGAAAAUGCAAUUUUCUCCGUUGGCUCCCAAAAUUACAUCCCUAUACCACCUCGUCGUCCCCGUCAGGAAUCCACCAUUAUUGUCUCUUGAAUCCCACUGGAGGGCAUCGAAUAAUUGAAAGAAUGGCCGCCUUCUCCGCCGUCCACCGCGGCGAUACCGCCAAAAUCAGUUAAAUUCACACCAUGGAACCUCCUCCAUCUCCUCAUCACCAAUCUACAAAUAAUCUCCUUCAAAACAUGACCGAGCCUCUCGAAUCUCAAAUCGUAGGAAGGCGAAAUUCUAGGGCUCAUACCGGUUUGGCCUACUUUGGGAAAUUUCCAGGGUCGGGUGAUUUCUAUUGUAAGUUCUCUUUAGUUUUCUGAUUUUAUUUCUUUUGGUGUAGUUCAAUUUUUCUUUUUUCUUCUUGUCAUUCAAUCUGGUUGAUAAUUGACUUCGAUUUUAUGUUUGUGGGUUAGUUUAACAUGACUUCAAUCCUGCUAUAGUAGUUUAAUUUUGUUUUGAUCUCAUAGUUCAUCUCAGUUAGUUAAUAAUAGGAUUUGGUUCAAUUGUAUUGAUUAUUGGAAGACGUACCCUUGUUUUUGUUUUCCUUCUGAUUUGGUUUAGUGUUAAUUCACUCAUGAUUGAUCCUUUCUUUUAGUUUUAUGUUGAUUUUGAUUCAAUCUGUUUAGGUGAUUUUUGGAGGUUUGUUCAAUUAGGUUUCAAAUCUUUUUAGAUAUAUGUUUUGUUUUGAUUCACAUCAUAUCAAUAGCUGAUUGGUUUUGUUGUUUGAUUGGAUGAAAAAGAUUGUUAGUUAACUAGAAUUAGUUGUUGGAUAAUCAUAGUUAAGAUUUGGGGUGGGUUAGAUUAGUCUAGUAAUUUUGAAUGAAUUCAAGGGCAUUGUGGGUAAUCAAAGUACAAGAAUGUGUAGAUUUAUUUAGAACUCCCUAGAUCCUUCUAGAUAGGGGUGUACGUGAAUAUUUCAAGAAGUAUGUGGUAAUAACUUAGGCAACAAGUCAGUAACUAAAGGACUAAUCUGAAAAUAAAUAAGGGGCUGAAUUAUAAACAGAAAAUUGAGGGUUGCCCUCAUCUUUGCCUAUAAAAGGGCAUCAUCAAUGUCUUAAUGGACAGGUUGGGGAUCCCAAAAAAUCCCCCAAAGUAUGCUCUCUAAAUUUCAGAUCUAAUAUCUGAAACUAAAACUCCAAAACCCCAAAAACAGUAGAAAAUCUCCAAAAACCAAAAAAUAACAAAGCAUCAGAAAAUACCAAAAUACAUGGUUACAUCGAGUGUUGUGAGUUCUGAUAAUUAUUCUUCACGAAUUUUUUACUUUCGAGUUGAAUAUGUGGGUUGCUGAAGUUAAGAAGUUCACUUCAAGUGAUUUUGAGUCAAACUAAGUUGGGUUUUGGUUGAGGUUUGCAGCGUUGAGGUCUCAAAUGUUUGCAGUCCAAUUUCGAUGUCUGUUUGAGUGGUAAUCAAGUAGUUUAUUGGUGAUCUCUUAGUUCCUAUUGGUUCAAACUCUCCCUAGGUUGAUUGAAUUAGUUGUUGGUGAUUUUUACCUGUUGUUGCUGCUUGUGAUAUCACUUGUUGCUGACUCCUUUUGUUAUUCUGUCCAUUCAAACCCAGGUACAUUUUCAAACUCUCACUGUUGUAAUGCCAAAGUUGGAGUAAAAUCAAGGCUCAUUUCAGAUUAAAACUCAAUGGAACCUUCAUAGUUGUAGUCAAUUGAUGUGGUUUUAGUUUUUUGUUUGAGUUUUGAAUUGUUUAAUUAGUAUUGUUGCCAACUAAUGCGGACAUGAUAAUUUGUAAUAUGAAAUGUUGAAUUUCAUUUGAAAUGGUGAUUUUCUGUUUAGUGUAGUUUAGUGGAUUGUUAGUGAGUUAGUGUUUUCAAUUGUUAAUGACACCACGAGACUAUCUAUUUUAUCAUUUGCUAAAUUGAGUUAAUUUGAAACUUCUGUUUUUGUAAGUAAUAAAUGAUUAGCUUAUUUUAUUGUUUCAAGGGGCCAUAAUUAAGAACUGUGUUGGGCUGUAAUAAUUGGGAUUGCAUGACCAGGAUCAUUUGAGGAAUAAGUAGGAUUGUUGAAGUACUUGUUGGGAUUCGAUCCCAGACAUAGAUAUGACAAUUGCUUGUGUCGCCCUCUACUUCCAUGGGGCCGCCCGUUUUCAUUUGGGCCGGGGUGCAUUAAUAUGAAGCCCAGGUUUGUUUUGGCCAGCCUGGAUAUAGCUUGAAGAAACUAGUUAAAUAGGAUGAUGACUCAAGGGCUCGAUCCAUGGACCUCGCUGAUGCCUCUCGAUGGGUUCAAAUUUUGGGCCAGCUUAGGCCCAAUGUCUAUAGCUCCGAGAGCUUGAUUUCAUAGCGUUUGCUUUAUGUGAUUUAGGCCUUCUGGGCUCAAGACAAAAAGCAUAGAAAAAUUAUAAUUACUAUAGGAUGGACUUUUAAAUAAGAAUUGCAAUGGGCCUCGCCAAAUAAGAAAUAUAUAAUUGUGAGGCCCUCAAUAAAUUUUGUAUUAAGUACUUAGAAUUCGGGAGGGUCGUUUAGCGAAUUUCACGGUCUUCCCCAAAGUAAUAUUUCAUUAGAAUCUUAAGGCGCAAUUUAAUUAAAUUACUUUCUUAAAUUCGGGUGGGCAUUGAUGCGACCCAAAUCCAAAUCUCGUUGAAGUCAAAAUGUGCUGACAACCACGGGUGCAUUGAUUGCGACGUGGUUUGAAACACAUUUUUACGACGUCGCAAUUCUUUUAAAAUAAUAAUGAUAGAAAAAUGGUUUGAGAAUAAAAGGCACAUAAGCUAGCAUGUAUUAAAAUCUGAUAAAAUCAAAUACAACAGUUAAGCGACCGUUCUAGAACCACGGAUCCCGGGAAUGCAUAACACCUUCUCCCGGGUUAACAAAACUUCUUACUCGGAUUUCUGGUACGCGGACUGUUAACAAAGUCAUAAUUUUCCUCGGUUCGGGAUUCAACCGCUGACUUGGGACACCAUUAAUCUCCCAAGUGGUGACUUUGAACUUUAAUAAUUAAAUCUCGUCCCGAUUGUCCUUUAAUUGGAAAAAUUUCUUUACGCCCAUGCGGGUGUAGUGAAAAAUGAGGUGUGACACCUUGUUCAACCAUUGGUAAUCAAUACACAUCCUCAU